rnacentral:rRNA from 1 species
GACGAACGCUGGCGGCGUGCCUAAUACAUGCAAGUCGACCUUAGUGGCGAACGGGUGAGUAACACGUGGGUAACCUGCCCAUCAGCAGGGGACAACACUUGGAAACAGGUGCUAAAACCGUAUACUGAUGGAUGGACCCGCGGUGCAUUAGCUAGUUGGUGAGGUAACGGCUCACAAAGGCCACGAUGCUUAGCCUGCCUGAUAGGGUGAUCGGCCACAUUGUGACUGAGACACGGCCCAAACGCCGACGGGAGGCAGCAGUAGGGAAGCUUCGGCAAUGGACGAAAGUCUGACAGAGCAACUCCGCGUGAGUGAAAAAGGUGUACGGGUCGUAAAACUCUGUUGUUAGAGAAGCAGUAUCUAACCAGACAGCCACGGCUAACUACGCGCCAGCAGCCGCGGUAAUUC